UACGGAGGGGGCUAGCGUUUUUCGGAAUUACUGGGCGUAAAGCGCGCGUAGGCGGACCUGCAAGUCGGGGGUGAAAGCCCGAGGCUCAACCUCGGAACUGCCUUCGAUACUGCGGGUCUCGAGUCCGAGAGAGGUGAGUGGAAUUCCUAGUGUAGAGGUGAAAUUCGUAGAUAUUAGGAAGAACACCAGUGGCGAAGGCGGCUCACUGGCUCGGUACUGACGCUGAGGCGCGAAAGCGUGGGGAGCAAACAGG
rnacentral:rRNA from 1 species